CCUACGGGCGGCUGCAGUAAGGAAUAUUGGUCAAUGGACGAAAGUCUGAACCAGCCAUGCCGCGUGGAGGAUGAAGGUCCUCUGGAUUGUAAACUUCUUUUAUAUGGGACGAAAAAAGGCCUUUCCAGGUCGUCUGACGGUACCAUAUGAAUAAGCACCGGCUAACUCCGUGCCAGCAGCCGCGGUAAUACGGAGGGUGCAAGCGUUAUCCGGAUUCACGGGGGUUAAAGGGGGUUUAGAAGUCAGUGUAUAACUCCCCGGGCUUAACUUGGGAACUGCCAUUGAUACUAUCAGUCUUGAAUACCGUGGAGGUCAGCGGAAUAUGUCAUGUAGCGGUGAAAUGCUUAGAUAUGACAUAGAACACCAAUUGCGAAGGCAGCUGGCUACACGAGUAUUGACACUGAGGCACGAAAGCGUGGGGAUCAAACAGGAUUAGAUACCCCAGUAGUC
rnacentral:rRNA from 1 species